rnacentral:miRNA from 1 species
GGAGUGGAGUGGAAUGGAAUGGAGUGGAGUGGAGUGGAGUGGAAUGGAAUGGAAUGGAAUGGAAUGGAAUGGAAUAAAGAAAGAGCUGUUUGGGAGAUAAUUUUCAUAACAGCUCCCACAAUAUAUCCAUCUGUCUCUCCCUCUCCUUAUGUCUCCCUCCCUCUCCCUCUCUCUUCCUUUCUGUC